AUCCCAUGAUGAGGACAGACGAGUAUGUAUUCAUGCAGCCUCUCCCAAGCUUCUAGGAUGGAUUCCAUCCCCUCUGCUGGAAACAUGAAAUUCGUCCUCGCAGGAC